AACCAACGCUGGCGGCGUGCCUCAGACAUGCAAGUCGAACGAUUAAAGCUCUCUUCGGAGAGUGUAUAGAGUGGCGCACGGGUGAGUAACACGUAAGUAAUCUACCCUCGAGUGGGGAAUAACGUCCGGAAACGGACGCUAAUACCGCAUAAUGCAGCGGCACCGCAAGGUGACAGUUGUUAAAGGAGAAAUUCGCUUGAGGAGGAGCUUGCGGCAGAUUAGCUGUUGGUAAGGUAACGGCUUACCAAGGCUACGAUCUGUAACCGGUCUUAGAGGACGGUCGGUCACACUGACACUGAAUAACGGGUCAGACUCCUACGGGAGGCAGCAGUCGGGAAUUUUGGGCAAUGGGCGAAAGCCUGACCCAGCAACGCCGCGUGAAGGAUGAAGUAUUUCGGUAUGUAAACUUCGAAAGAAUAGGAAGAAUAAAUGACGGUACUAUUUAUAAGGUCCGGCUAACUACGUGCCAGCCGCCGCGGUAAC
rnacentral:rRNA from 1 species